rnacentral:tRNA from 1 species
GUUUAAGUAGCAAAGAAGUAAUGCCUCAGGUUUAGGUCCUGUUAUCAAGGGUGCAAUUCCUUUCUUAAACU